rnacentral:rRNA from 1 species
GACGAACGCUGGCGGCGUGCUUAACACAUGCAAGUCGAGCGGUAAGGCCCUUUCGGGGGUACACGAGCGGCGAACGGGUGAGUAACACGUGAGCAACCUGCCCUUCUCUUGGGGAUAACCAGUGGAAACGCUGGCUAAUACCCGAUAUGACCAUCUCAUGCAUGUGGGGUGGUGGAAAGUUCCGGCGGAGAGGGAUGGGCUCGCGGCCUAUCAGCUUGUUGGUGAGGUAGUGGCUCACCAAGGCGACGACGGGUAGCCGGCCUGAGAGGGUGACCGGCCACACUGGGACUGAGACACGGCCCAGACUCCUACGGGAGGCAGCAGUGGGGAAUAUUGGACAAUGGGCGAAAGCCUGAUCCAGCAACGCCGCGUGAGGGAUGACGGCCUUCGGGUUGUAAACCUCUUUCAGCACCGACGAAGCGAGAGUGACGGUAGGUGCAGAAGAAGGACCGGCCAACUACGUGCCAGCCGCCGCCGUAACAC